CUGUCGGCCACCCAAGAGCGCAGACGCGUCAGCAAGACUGACACCCUUGACACAGACAUUAACUGGUGAUAUGCUUCACUACCUUCUGUCGUCUCUCGUAUCAGUGGUUAUCGAUGAAACAACGGCAAAGCCCCAAUAGCGGCUUCUUUGGAACUGGGCCAGCUGAUCUGAAAGACUUUGUGGAUACAUGUUCUCUACCUGGUGGAACAGUGGACUGUGGGUUAUGGGGACACCCAGGGAAGUGAAGCACCUGCCCAGCACCAUGUCAUCAGGAGCAUCAUCACUGUAGCACCUACAACCACUGCCUCACCCUCCUCCUCCUGUGGUGUAGCUGUAGCCGUUCCGAACCAAGCUGUAGCCGUAUCUCUCCCCUAGGCUCACUGCUUCCUUUGG